rnacentral:rRNA from 1 species
CCAAACUGUUGCCUCGGCGGGAUCUCUGCCCCGGGUGCGUCGCAGCCCCGGACCAAGGCGCCCGCCGGAGGACCAACCAAAACUCUUUUUGUAUACCCCCUCGCGGGUUUUUUAUAAUCUGAGCCUUCUCGGCGCCUCUCGUAGGCGUUUCGAAAAUGAAUCAAAACUUUCAACAACGGAUCUCUUGGUUCUGGCAUCGAUGAAGAACGCAGCGAAAUGCGAUAAGUAAUGUGAAUUGCAGAAUUCAGUGAAUCAUCGAAUCUUUGAACGCACAUUGCGCCCGCCAGUAUUCUGGCGGGCAUGCCUGUCCGAGCGUCAUUUCAACCCUCGAACCCCUCCGGGGGGUCGGCGUUGGGGAUCGGCCCUGCCUUUUGGCGGUGGCCGUCUCCGAAAUACAGUGGCGGUCUCGCCGCAGCCUCUCCUGCGCAGUAGUUUGCACACUCGCAUCGGGAGCGCGGCGCGUCCACAGCCGUUAAACACCCAACUUCUGAAAUGUUGACCUCGGAUCAGGUAGGAAUACCCGCUGAACUUAAGCAUAUCAAUAAGCGGAGGAA